GCAGCUCAGUGGUACAGCACUGACCUUGCAUUCAGGAGGCCCUGAGUUUCAUCCCCAGCCUGGCAAAAUAAAUAUACUAAUAAAAUAAUAAGGAAGCUGCCAGAACGCAGAGCACUGGGUGACCUCUAGGGGAUCUGAAUCUUCUGCCUUAAACCCUAUGUAGAAGAGAGACCUUCUGCCAGUUCCUGCCUGCUCCCACCAUCACGAGACCCACCCUCUCCAAAGAGACCCUUGGAGAGUUGCGGACAGAGUCUGGGGCCUCCUGCGUGCUGGACAAGUGCUCCACAGCACUCCUGUGCCCUACCCCAAGCUCCCU
rnacentral:lncRNA from 1 species